GUGCACCUGAAAUGAAGCUGACUUGCUUUCCUGGAUGAACAUAUUUGGGAAAAGUAAGGAAUGUAAAAGGAACAAAACAGUUGU